UACAGGGGGUGCAAACGUUGCUCGGAAUCAUUGGGCGUAAAGCGCACGUAGGCGGUCUGUUAUGUCGGAUGUGAAAGCCCUUGGCUCAACUGAGGAAGUGCAUCCGAAACUGGCAGGCUGGAGUACUAAAGAGGGUCGCGGAAUUCCCGGUGUAGUGGUGAAAUGCGUAGAUAUCGAGAGGAACACCAGUGGCGAAGGCGAGUCCCUGGACAACACCUGACACUGAGGCGCGAAAGCUAGGGGAGCAAACGGG
rnacentral:rRNA from 1 species